AGAAGAACAUCACUUAUUUGACGGAGAACCACCGGUGCACGAUGCUAUUAACUGUGUCUCCUAUGCCCCGUUGUUGAUCGAUGAAGAACCCGCUGUGACACAAAAUGGGUGCAGAACUGAUUCCCCGAGGGACAACAGGUCUUCCCCUGAGUCUGAUUAUUUUAACACAUGUAGAGAAACUGUAUGUGUAUUAAAUCAUAUCAUUUGUUUUAUUCAUAAGUAUAUAGUUUUUACGUGUAUCCCACAGCAAUAGUGCCAGACUAUGCUGAAUCGGAAAUAAUUGUCAUAGAGGACACACAGGAGAGAGCGCUCCCUCAUCGCCAUCGAUCCCUGCUGAGGUCUAUCCGGACACCCUCCAACUUUAUCGCCUGGCUCAAAUAAUUUCUCCUGGUCUGCUAGAAUCAUCUGUUAACUCAGAAAUGGAUGAGUUUUCUACUGUUUGGACUGACGCACAGGAUGUGAAUUGGAGUGAAGACGAGCAAU